UACGGGGGGAGCAAGCGUUGUUCGGAUUUACUGGGCGUAAAGGGCGCGUAGGCGGCGCAACAAGUCACUUGUGAAAUCUCCGGGCUUAACCCGGAGCGGCCAAGUGAUACUGUCGUGCUAGAGUGCGGAAGGGGCUACUGGAAUUCUCGGUGUAGCGGUGAAAUGCGUAGAUAUCGAGAGGAACACCUGCGGCGAAGGCGGGUAGCUGGGCCGACACUGACGCUGAUGCACGAAAGCGUGGGGAGCAAACAGG
rnacentral:rRNA from 1 species